AUGCAACGCAUGGCCACAUCAUACUUCAAGGAGGUUUAUACGAAAGAUCCAACUCUCACUCCGGAGAGUGUCUUGGAGGGUAUCGCAUCUAAGGUAACUCAGGGUAUGAACGAUACCCUAUGUGGUCCCUUCUUGGAGGAGGAGGUAUCAAAUGCCCUCUUUCAAAUCGGUCCGCUUAAAGCACCAAGGACGGACGGCCUCCCGGCGAGGUUCUUUCAACGAAAUUGGGUCGUGCUGAAAUCUGAAAUCAUAGCUGCUGUGCUGGAGUUCUUUAAGUCAGGAGAUAUGCCGGACAGGGUGAACGACACAGCUAUCGUUCUUAUCCCGAAAAUUCCUUUCCCAAAGGAACUCAAGGAUUUUAGACCGAUAAGCUUGUGUAACGUCAUCUACAAGAUUGUCUCAAAAUGCCUCAUGAACAGACUAAGGCCGUUGCUCCCGGAGCUCAUUUCAGAGAAUCAGAGUGCCUUCGUUCCAGGGAGGCUUAUCACUGACAAUUCGAUUAUUGCUUUUGAGUGCCUUCACCACAUACAGUCGCUGAAACAAAACAGACCGGCGGCAUGUGCUUACAAGCUGGACUUGUCGAAGGCAUAUGACCGUGUCGACUGGGACUUUUUGGAGAAGGCAUUUGGUAGAUGGGGCUUCGCCCAACAGUGGAUUGCAUGGAUUAUGGUGUGUGUGAAAUCAGUGAAAUAUUCGGUCAAAUUCAAUGGACAAUUGCUUGAGAGUUUCAUUCCCUCUAGAGGAUUAAGGCAAGGUGAUCCUUUAUCGCCGUUCUUAUUUCUUUUUGUUGCUGAUGCCCUUUCUGCUCUGUUCUCUAAAUCAGUUGAGGAAGGCUCGCUAAAGGGGGUGACUAUAUGUCGUGGUGCACCGGUUAUCUCCCACCUGUUAUUUGCAGAUGAUACUAUGUUGCUUUUUGAGGCGUCUGGCGAGCAAGCGAGCAUUGUUAAGGGGCUGUUGAACACUUAUAGUUCUGCGACGGGUCAACUUAUUAACCCAGAGAAGUGUUCCAUCCUUUUUUCUGACAAUUGCUCUGAUGCGGUGGCGGAUGAAGUCGAAAGUACCCUCGAGGUUACGCAGCAGGUGUUCGAGCCAAAGUACCUCGGCCUUCCGGUGCCAGAGGGAAGAGUGCAUAAGGGACAAUUUGAAUCUCUUCAGGAGAGGUUGAGAAAGAGAUUAAUUGAUUGGAGUGAACAGUUUGUCUCGUCGGGGAACAAAGAAAUUUUGAUCAAGGCGGUGGCGCAAGCUAUACCUACAUAUGUCAUGAGUGUGUUUCGGCUACCGGCCUCUGUUUGCGAUGAUUUAACGCGUAUGAUGAGGCAAUACUGGUGGGGAGUGGAGAAUGGUAAAAGGAAAAUGGCGUGGCUCAGUUGGGAGAAAAUGAUCUUGCCCAAGGAUAUGGGAGGAAUGGGUUUUAGAGAUAUGAGAUCCUUCAAUCAGGCACUACUCGCGAAGCAAGCCUGGAGAUUGCUUGAUAGUCCGGAUAGUUUAUGCGCCCGGUUACUCCGGGCCAAAUAUUACCCCAAUGGUAACUUGCUUGAUACAGUCUUUCCUUCUAGUUCGUCGGCUGUGUGGAAGGGCAUCAUGCAUGGGCUUGAUCUGUUG
rnacentral:rRNA from 1 species